rnacentral:lncRNA from 1 species
UAAGUAAAAAUACUAAACCAACUAAAAUAAUUGCCUCCAAGACUUACUAAGACUCCAUUUCUUCUCCACUAAUACUAUUCUUCUUUCUUUAACAUCUUCUAAGGACAUCUUUACCUAAUAAUUGUAAUUUUGGCACUCUACAUGCAUUCUUUUGUCCUAAAACAACUAAUGAGUCAAUUUGAUGACUCACAGUUGGCACCUUAGCUUCAUAAUUCUAUUAUACUCUAUUUGUACUCUUAAUUGCCCUAAAGGUGCUCUUAGUAGAAGCACAAAAUUUAUGUCAAGAAGACAAGCUUCUUUGAGAAAAUAUAAGGUCCUUGAUUGCAAGUGGAUUGUAAGAAAUAUAAUAUUUUCUAAAUAAAGUCAAAUGUAAAAAGAUAGUCAAAGGCCAAGUACAAAAUUUAAACUAAUUUCUUUCUUAUACUAAGAUGUAUUCAACUCCUAACUCAAAUCUUAAACCUACACCUCAUCUUAUUAAAUUACCUAUAAUUCACUUAUUAUUAAUUUAAUCUAAGAAAAAUUUAGCUUGUUGAGCUUAACUCAAGCUAUAAACUACAAAUUAUUAAAUUCCACAAGCAAUAUCUUGUAGAAAUGAGAAUUAAACCAAAGAGAAAAAAGAAUUGGCUGCUUGCUAAAAUUACUAUUUCAAAACCCUUAUCUACAAAUCAGCUUGGAUUUCCUUCAUCAUAGCUCUUUUUUUUGCAUACUAAGUCUUAUUGAAAAGCUAACAAUGAAUUAUAGUUUUUUCAAA